rnacentral:rRNA from 1 species
AUUGCCUUAGUAACGGCGAGUGAAGCGGCAAAAGCUCAGAUUUGAAAUCUGUCGCCAUAGAGGCAUCCGACUUGUAAUCUGUAGAGGAGUAUUCGAGUAUGGCUUUGGCUUAAGUUCCUUGGAACAGGGCGUCAUAGAGGGUGAGAACCCCGUCUACGGCCUUUGUCUUAUGCUUAUGUGAAUCUCUUUCGAUGAGUCGAGUUGUUUGGGAAUGCAGCUCUAAAUGGGUGGUAAAUUCCAUCUAAAGCUAAAUACUGGCAAGAGACCGAUAGCGCACAAGUAGAGUGAUCGAAAGAUGAAAAGAACUCUGAACAGAGAGUUAAAUAGUACGUGAAAUUGUUGAAAGGGAAGCACUUACUACCAGACACACUUGUAGCUGAUCAGCCUCCAUUUUUGGUGGUGCACUCAGUUGUAAGUGGGUCAGCAUCAGUUACAGCGGUGGGAAAAAGACUCUGAGAAUGUGGCUUCCUUCUGGAAGUGUUAUAGCCCAUUGUGUAAUGCUACCUGUAGUGACUGAGGACCGCGCUU